GGUGGCGUAGCCAAGUGGUUAGGCAACGGUUUGCAAAACCGUCACACGCGGGUUCGAAUCCCACCGCCACCUCCA
rnacentral:tRNA from 1 species